rnacentral:lncRNA from 1 species
GUAUGUUCUUUAGAGAAAUAGCUAAUUAAACCAUCUAUCUAUUUUAAUUUGUUUUAAAUUUAUGUAUUAAUGUUUUGCCUCUGUGUAAAUGCACGUGCAUGCAGGACCAGAAGAGGGGAUUGGAUGCCCUGGGACUGGUGUUAGCAGAUAGUUGUGAGCUGCCAUAUAAAUCCCAGGGUUUCCCUAGCAACAGCUCCAAAUGGGUCUUGUUGCUAGGGAACACAGGGAUUUCCCAGGGUGUGUGUGUGUGUACGCACAAUUACAUGCAGGAGCUUUCAGAGACCAAAGGCUC